GGGGAGGUAAAGUGAGUUUAUUUCGCUCAGAUUCCUCGCGCUUGGUUUGUAGGUCAAGCUGAAAACUCAGUAAGAAUGUAUUUGCUUUUUUAAAAUGUAGUUUAAAGUGACAAUUCAGUUGUCUAUGGAGGAAUGUAGAGUUUCCCACCCUGAAUUGAGGGGGAGAGAUCCUGGUAUUAAUUACUCUUGAGAGUUCCAUGGACUGCAAAAAGAUCAAACCUAUCCAUUCUGAAGGAAAUCAGGGUCAAUUUUAAUGGGAGCCCAAAUCUCAGUUGUACGGGUGUAUGUAUAUAUCUCAAUUUUAACUCAUGAGCUAUUGAUGCAAUCUGCUCUGAUUGUAUAUUUUAUCUUUAGGAAUGCUGUUUUUAUUGUGUUAUGUGAACUGGUCAUUGACCGUAAUAAAUUAUCUAUCACCCUGAUGUUGGGAAAGAUGGAGGGCACAAGGAGAAGGGGACGACAGAGGAUGAGAUGGUGGGACAGUGUUCUCCAAGCGACCAGCAUGAGUUUGACCAAACUGUGGGAGGCAGUGGAAGACAGGAGUGCCUGGCGUGCUCUGAUCUAGGGAGUCACAACUAAACAACAACAAUUUCUUUCUGGUUUUUGAAGCCAACCUGACAACUCAAUAAUUGUUGUUGUUGUUUAGUCGGUUAGUUGUGUCAAACUCAUGAUGGUGGCUCCGAGAACACUGUCCCACCAUCUUGUCCUCUGCCGUCCCCUUCUCCUUGUGCUCUCCAUCUUUCCCAACAUCAGGGUCUUUUCCAGGGAGUCUUCUCUUCUCCUGAGGUGGCCAAAGUACUGGAGCCUCAGCUUCAGGAUCUGUCCUUCCAGUGAGCACUCAGGGCUGAUUUCUUUCAGAACGGAGAGGUUGGAUCUUCUUGAAGUCCAUGGGACUCUCAAGAGUCUCCUCCAGCACCAGAAUUCAAAAACUCAAUAAUUAAAAAAUGGUUAAACAAAUCUCAAACUUUUCCAUAUGAUAUAUAUUGUUACAGGCCACCCCAAUCCCCACCAAGCGGUGCGCGAGAUUGCAGGGGCUCCAGGCGCUUGUCCUGGGUUCGUAUCACCAGGCUGGAUGACAGCUGACAGAGAGCAGGACACGUGAUUCCUGCACUGCGAGGGGUUGGGCUAGAUGGCCCCUGGGUGCCCCUUCCAACUCGACCAUUCAAUGCUUCUGUGACAGUCCUGCGCAAGAGCCCAGAAAUGCAGGCCUCGGC